rnacentral:tRNA from 1 species
GGGCCUGUAGCUCACCUGGGAGAGCGCCUCCAUGGCAUGGAGGAGGUAGAGGGUUCGAUCCCCUUCAGGUCCACCA